rnacentral:misc_RNA from 1 species
AAACCAAACACAACUUUAGAAUGAAUGGAUGCAACUUUUAUAUAUUGGUAAUUACUUGCCUUGUUUUCAGUUUAGACUCAGUCUAUGCUAGAAGGAGGCCGGACGGACGCUGGGGGGAUUGGGGCCCCUGGGAGGGGUGCACGGCUUCCUGUGGUACAGGUAUUUCCACCAGAACAGCCAGCUGGAUUAUGAACGGGAUCAAGACGCAGUACCUAUUUCACGACAUCAUGGAAUGUUCCGCUGCUGUUAAAUGCCCAGAGGACGGACACUGGGGUGUAUGGAUGAUGUGGGAGGCGUGUCCUGUAAUGUGCGGGGGAGGAGUUCAUAAACGCCACCGGAAGUGUGAUAGCCCGGAACCAACUUACGGCGGACGUGACUGUACGGGGGAUAGUUCCGAAAAGAGGCUCUGUAACAACCAGACUUGUCCAGCUGUUCCCAAGGACUUCGAUCCCUCUUUUUGCUUAACAGACGUGUUUAUAUGCAAAAGUGCAAAAUUCUGUGUAGCUCGGAAACAGAUAUGUGAUGGGGUGCUGCAUUGUGAUGACGGAAGUGACGAAAUAGAUUGCGCCACUGUCUCAAAUUUCAAACAGCUAGGUACACUGCAUAAUUUUUUUUUUAAUUUAUGCAUUUUUUAGCUGCUACAUAUAGCUAGGGAUCUAGACAUUCAAGAAUAUGUUACAUUAAUACUUUAAAGUUUAUCAACUUUUACAGUUUAUAAAACUGCAAUAGUUAGGUUUAAAUUGUUAAAAUUUUAAACUUUUAAUAUACAUGUAAUAAAUACACAAUUAUUGCUGUUUUAUUUGUUUUAUUACCAUCGAUAUGUAACGAAUUUUUGUAUGUGGUUUUUUUUUUUUACAGACAAUUCUGGAUGUUCAAUGACCAAAAAUACUGCUAGCAGAAGUAUUCAGCUCUUAUUAGCUUGGUUAGCGGUAAUCUACCUCAAAUACUGAAACACGAGAUUAUCGCGGUUUUUCGUAUUCCAAAAAAAAAAUGUCUCGGACUGUGAAUGUCAUUUCUUUCAUAAAAUGAAUAAGUC